rnacentral:lncRNA from 1 species
AUCAUUAGUUUUCUAUAUUUUUGUGUUUUUGUUUCAUUUUGUUUGUGAUUUUAUUUUGGGCCUUUAGCUCUUUCUAUAUCGGGUGAAAAAAAACAAAAAACAUCGGCAGAGAAUUUGGUUCAAUGGGCUGAAUGGAUUGGAUCAAGAUAGUUGAUGAAUAAAGUGAGGGGUUGGUGUGCUAUGCCUUGUUAGGUUGUUGG